CUCUUUUUCCUCUUCCUUUUUCUUUUCCACAUUUUCGCUGUUCCUUCUUCCCUCUUUCAUCACCCAUUCUCUUCUAUCCCCGCUUCUUCCUAUCAUUUUCCUUCAUUAUUUCUCUCUGGUUUUAAUUUUUCAUCUUUCUCUGUUUUUCCCAAACUUUUACUGUCAUAUUUUUUCUUUAUUUCUUCUGUUUUUCAUCAACCAUUCUCUUCUAUCUACUCUUCUUCCUUUCAUUUUUCUUUGUUAUUUCUCUCUGGUUCUCAUUUUCUAUCUUUCUUUUUCUUUUCCUCAUUUUCGCUGUUCCUUCUUCCCUCUUUCAUCAACCGUUCUCUUCUAUCCACUCUUCUUCCUAUCAUUUUCCUUCAUUAUUUCUCUCUGGUUCUCUUUUUCCUCUUCCUUUUUCUUUUUCACAUUUUCGCUGUUCCUUCUUCCCUCUUUCAUCACCCAUUCUUUUCUAUCCCCUCUUCUUCCUAUCAUUUUCCUUCAUUAUUUCUCUCUGGUUCUCUUUUUCCUCUUCCUUUUUCUUUUCCACAUUUUCGCUGUUCCUUCUUCCCCCUCUUUCAUCACCCAUUCUCUUCUAUCCACUCUUCUUCCUUCCAUUUUCCUUCGUUAUUUCUCCCUGGUUCCUGUUUUUCUCUUCCAUUUUCUUUCCCUCAUUUUCGCUGUUCCUUCGUCCCUCCAUGUUCACAUUUCACUAACCUAACAUCUCCUUCCCUUCCUCCCUCUCUGUGUAUAUAUAGUUUUGUGUAUAUAGUUCACAACAUCCUAAUGCUCUGUUUUCAUGAAUUAAUUUUGAUAUGACUCAUUUUUUUGUGUUGCUGGUGUUGUAUUGUGCUGUGUUACUUACCCUAGUAUGUUGCAUGCAUGAGUGUGUGUGUGUGAGGAAGUUGUUGUAUUAGCGCAUAACAUUUUUAUUUUCUGCUCUCUCUCCGUCUCUCCGUCUCUCUCUGGCAUCAACAAAAUCAUAACCAUUUGAUAAUUCUUCCAUAUGUUCUAAUUUUACAUACUUUUUCCUCGUCUGUCAAUUUCCUUUUAUUUUACAUCAUUUUCCGAAGUGCAUGUUAGUCGCUGCAUUGCUUGGUGGUGAUGGUGGUGGUAGUGGCGGUGAUGAUGGUGUUGACAGUGGUGGUGAUGGUCAGUUAACCCCCCCCCCCUCUCUCUCUCCCUCCGUAGAAAUGCUUACUACUCACAAACUACAGUCGACCCUCAAAUAGUACAGUUUUCAAUAGUUCGGUUACGGUUUUAUACAGAUUGUCGUAGAAGAUCUUUUAAGGAAACCGUACUAUUUGAGGGGUGACUGUAUUAAUAUUAACGUAGCCAAAUGCCUCUCUCCCGCCUCCUUACGCUCAUAAACCAAAGAGGAAUGAAUAUAUAAAGAAAACACAACGGAUGGGUGUGAUGGGUGUGUGCUGUGGACCAUCUUCCCAAUAGGAGAUAUGAAAGGAAGUUGAAAAGGAUAUGUUGGGAAUCUUAAAGGUGAAGUUGGGAGCUCACACUUAAAGUCAAACCGUUUCAAAUAGCCCAUUUUGGCGUUCGAUUCUGUGGGUCCUUUCCUCCCCUCUGCUCGGCCAUACAGUCCCAUCACCUAUUUUUCCUUGUCCUAUGUUACCUUUGGAUAACAUAUGAGAGGAAGGGACAGGUGUUGGGACAGUGGGCCGUGUUACAAGUUCAGUCUGAGAAGUUUCAGGUCGCUGCAAAGGUCUGUUUAGGGGCCGUAUUACAAGUUCAAUCUGAGAAGUUUCAGGUCGCUGCAAAGGUCUGUUUAGGGGCCAUAUUACAAGUUCAAUCUGAGAAGUUUCGGGUCGCUGCAAAGGUCUGUUUAGGGGCCGUAUUACAAGUUCAAUCUGAGAAGUUUCGGGUCGCUGCAAAGGUCUGUUUAGGGGCUGUAGUACAAGCUCAAUCUGAGAAGUUUCAGGUCGCUGCAAAGGUCUGUUUAGGGGGUGUAUUACAAGUUCAAUCUGAGAAGUUUCAGGUUGCUGCAAAGGUCUGUUUAGGGGCCGUGUUACAAGUUCAAUCUGAGAAGUUUCAGGUCACUGCAAAGGUCUGUUUAGGGGCUGUAUUACAAGUUCAGUCUGAGAAGCUUCGGGUCGCUGCAAACGUCUGUUUAGGGGCCGUAGUACAAGUUCAAUCUGAGAAGUUUCGGGUCGCUGCAAAGGUCUGUUUAGGGGCCAUAUUACAAGUUCAAUCUGAGAAGUUUUGGGUCGCUGCAAAGGUUUGUUUAAGGGCUGAGUACAAGUUCAAUCUGAGAAGUUUCAGGUCGCUGCAAAGGUCUGUUUAGGGGCCGUAUUACAAGUUCAAUCUGAGAAGUUUCAGGUCGCUGCAAAGGUCUGUUUAGGGGCCGUAUUACAAGUUCAAUCUGAGAAGUUUCAGGUCGCUGCAAAGGUCUGUUUAGGGGCUGUAUUACAAGUUCAAUCUGAGAAGUUUUGGGUCGCUGCAAAGGUCUGUUUAGGGGUCGUAUUACAAGUUCAAUCUGAGAAGUUUCAGGUCGCUGCAAAGGUCUGUUUAGGGGCCGUGUUACAAGUUCAGUCUGAGAAGUUUCGGGUCGCUGCAAAGGUCUGUUUAGGGGCCGUGUUACAAGUUCAAUCUGAGAAGUUUCAGGUCGCUGCAAAGGUCUGUUUAGGGGCUGUAUUACAAUUUCAGUCUGAGAAGUUUCAGGUCGCUGCAAAGGUCUGUUUAGGGGCCGUAUUACAAGUUCAAUCUGAGAAGUUUCAGGUCGCUGCAAAGGUCUGUUUAGGGGCCGUGUUACAAGUUCAGUCUGAGAAGUUUCGGGUCGCUGCAAAGGUCUGUUUAGGGGCCGUGUUACAAGUUCAAUCUGAGAAGUUUCAGGUCGCUGCAAAGGUCUGUUUAGGGGCCGUGUUACAAGUUCAAUCUGAGAAGUUUCGGGUCGCUGCAAAGGUCUGUUUAGGGGCCGUAUUACAAGUUCAAUCUGAGAAGUUUUGGGUCACUGCAAAGGUCUAUUUAGGGGCUGUAGUACAAGUUCAAUCUGAGAAGUUUCAGGUCGCUGCAAAGGUCUGUUUAGGGGCCAUAUUACAAGUUCAAUCUGAGAAGUUUCAGGUCGCUGCAAAGGUCUGUUUAGGGGCCGUAUUACAAGUUCAAUCUGAGAAGUUUCGGGUCGCUGCAAAGGUCUGUUUAGGGGCUGUAGUACAAGUUCAAUCUGAGAAGUUUCAGGUCGCUGCAAAGGUCUGUUUAGGGGGUGUAUUACAAGUUCAAUCUGAGAAGUUUCAGGUUGCUGCAAAGGUCUGUUUAGGGGCUGUGUUACAAGUUCAAUCUGAGAAGUUUCAGGUCACUGCAAAGGUCUGUUUAGGGGCCGUGUUACAAGUUCAAUCUGAGAAGUUUCAGGUCGCUGCAAAGGUCUGUUUAGGGGCCGUGUUACAAGUUCAAUCUGAGAAGUUUCAGGUCACUGCAAAGGUCUGUUUAGGGGCUGUAUUACAAGUUCAGUCUGAGAAGCUUCGGGUCGCUGCAAAGGUCUGUUUAGGGGCCGUAGUACAAGUUCAAUCUGAGAAGUUUCGGGUCGCUGCAAAGGUCUGUUUAGGGGCCGUAUUACAAGUUCAAUCUGAGAAGUUUUGGGUCGCUGCAAAGGUUUGUUUAAGGGCUGAGUACAAGUUCAAUCUGAGAAGUUUCAGGUCGCUGCAAAGGUCUGUUUAGGGGCCGUAUUACAAGUUCAAUCUGAGAAGUUUCAGGUCGCUGCAAAGGUCUGUUUAGGGGCUGUAUUACAAGUUCAGUCUGAGAAGUUUUGGGUCACUGCAAAGGUCUGUGUAGGGGCUGUAGUACAAGUUCAAUCUGAGAAGUUUCAGGUCCCUACAAAGUUAUUCAUCCUGAACUCUGUAGGGACCUGAAACUUCUCGGAUUGGACUUGUAGUACGGCCCCUAAACUGACCUUUUCGGGUACUGAAACUUCUCACAUUUGACCUGUAAUACAGCCCUGUGUGGCAGAGCAGAGGGGAGGAAAGGACCCACGGAAUUGAACGCCCAAACGAACUAUUUGAAACGGUUUGACUAUAAAUGCGGGUGGCCUCAGUGCUCGUCUCCGUAACAGUGGGCCGGUGGUGCGUGAGAGCCCAUUAACUCGGGACACAGAGCCAGAGUGACAUCCGGGUUAGCACAGUUUACCUUUCCCAGGCUUCCCCAGGUAAUCAUUGUAACCACACUGGAAAGAUAUCAAGAAAUACAGCUUUCCCAGUAGAGGAACUGAACAGUGGAACAGCCUGGGGAAAAAGAUCGUCCAUUUAGAAAGUUUGUAGGAGCUUAAAGUUGCGUUUGACUUAUUGAGGCCCAGAGAUAAAACCCUUUGAUGGCAGCUUGGCUCAUGUAUAGCUCUACUAGGUAAAUACAGCUAGGUAAAUUGGUGCACACACACACACACACACCCACACCCACACACACACACACACACACACACACACUUCAGCAUUUAAUUAUUUUUUUUCUACACAAAUAAGGUUUACCAAUUAUUCAAGCUGGUAAUUUUACAUGUGUUCAUUUAUUUGUUGCAGGAGAUUCACUUGAACCUGUGCAAAUUAUUAUUAUUAUUAUUAUUAUUAUUAUUAUUAUUAUUAUUAUUAUUAUUAUUAUUAUUAUUAUUAUUAUUAUUAUUAUUAUUAUUGUUAUUAUUAUUUAUGACUAUACAGUACUGUCUCUAGGAUUGCGAGUUUCAAGUUUGUGAUUCACCAAGUUUGUGAUAGGGACCCAAAACAUUCAAUUUUUGUUGAAAACUGAAAUUGCAUUAUGACCCGAACUUUGUGGGUGGCGCGCGCUGUAAGACAGUGGUGGUUUGCGAUCCAGUUAACGAGGCGGAGGGGGUCGUGACGUCAGGGCGCACUGCGGCAUCACCACCGCAACACUGUAUUUUACCGUCCACUGCCAUUGUCCACCUCACCCCAGCGGUCCCACCCAACUAAGGAUAGUUCAGUGAAACGUCAUCAACUCAGCCAUGACGUCACUGGAGACCCACACGUGUGGCCGCAGCCAAUAGUUCAGUGAAACAUCAUCAACUCAGCCAUGAUAUCACGUGUUCUAUGACAUCACGGCGGUGACGCGCGCUGGAGACCCUCGCCAGCAAGAGUCAUUUGAAUCUUGGUUUUAUUCAAGGAUUUACACAUCAUAUGAAGUGUGGUGUUCUCUGAAACUUCAGUCCAGUGGCGCCGCGGCCACACGUGAGGGUCUCCAGUGACGCCUCUGUUUACAUGUGACGUCACGAGUGCGGUGCAUUGUGGGAAAAACAAAUGCUUAGCGAGCUAUCCUUUAUAUGUCUCUCAUCCUUGGUCCCACCCACACUUCUACCCCCAUGCCGUUUGGGCCCUCAGAGCCCCGGCGUGGUGCUCUCCAUUCGCUCCCGGUCCCCCUCAGCCGUCCAUGCUAAAGCUGGAGUGGCGGGGCAGCAGCAGGGAUCCAUCGCAGGGUUCAUGCAGCGCCGGUCGCAGGCAGGACACGCCCAUGCGGUGUGGGGCCAACGGCCCGGUGUGCUGCGGCUUGCAUUUUGCAGUGGCAGUUGAGCCCUCUCAGCACUCAUGCCGAGGGCUAGGAGCGGUAUGUCUCCAGCCCUUUUGUGGGAUGUGCUAGGCUGCAUGGGCCGGGGCUCUGGCUGUCUCUGUUGCCACCUUUCGGCCCGGCAUUUCAGAUGAGAUGUCGACGGUUUUCAAUUUUCCUCAUAAGAAGAUUGGUUCAAAGUUUGCGAUUUCAACGUUUGCGACCCACAACGCCGACCUAUUUAUUGCAAAUUUGGAGACAGUACUGUAUUAUGUUCAACCCCUUCCUGAUAAGACUGAUGAAAAUUGAUUGAAUGGUGGCUCCCGUAUAUAGAAUUUAAUUUUGGUCGUCAAUAUGGCAAGCAAUGCAUAUUCUUCGCAAACUGGAUUAUUGGUGUGAGGCAAACCACACCACGGAAGCAAUGACGGUGUUUCUCUCUCUCUCUCUCUCUCUCUCUCUCUCUCUCUCUCUCUCUCUCUCUCUCCCCCCCUUCAUUUUUCAUCUAUAUAUCUAUCCUCCUUCCUUAUCACACACACACACACACACACACACUCAAAAACAAACAAAAAAAAAAUGACAUAUCUCUUCACCACACUCAUAUUAUUUCUGUUUAUGUGUGUGCUUGUUCAUUUACCCACCCCUAUGUGCGUGUGUGUGUGUGUGUGUGUGUGUGUGGGUGUGUGGGUGUACAUGGUCUGAGGUGAGCCGCCCUGCC